CCCUUAGAUGUCCUGGGCCGCACGCGCGCUACACUGACAUGUUCAACAAGCCUCCUAGUUCGACAGGAUUUGGGAAAUCUUUGAACGCAUGUCGUGAUAGGGAUAGAUCAUUGCAAUUAUUGAUCUUGAACGAGGAAUUCCUAGUAAACGCGAGUCAUCGGCUCGCAUUGAUUACGUCCCUGCCCUUUGUACACACCGCCCGUCGCACCUACCGAUUGAAUGUUUCGGUGAAGAUUCCGGAUAGGACUUUUUUGAUUUAUUUCAAUUUUGUCUUAAAAGCUAUCUAAACCUCAACAUUUAGAGGAAGGUGAAGUCGUAACA
rnacentral:rRNA from 1 species